rnacentral:lncRNA from 1 species
GCCAUGAUGAUUUAGGGUCGGCGGCAAUUUUUGAAAGAGGUAGAAAGAAAGGGUUUUUGAUGAAUUAGGGUCAGCUGGAUCUAAACCAAUACUGAUACCAUAAUAGAAUAUAUAAUUGCCUUUAUAAUUGUCUGCCUUUUCAUAUAUGAAAAACAUGUAUAUAUACAGACGUGUUGUAUCAGCUUGAUUCUAUACAAUCAAAGCCUAUUUAAUUUACAUAAAUAUAUUACUAAAGGCUAAUAAAGAUAAAUGAUGACUAAGAAUAAAGGCUAAUAAAGAUAAAU